GGAGCAAACGAAGUGAAGCAUGUUAUUUAAUACGAAAGUACGCGUAAAAUCUUACCAGUUCUUGCAUAGCCAAUCCCUCUUAUUUUUUAUAAUAAACUACUCUCUCCUUAUUCAUAGGAGGGAGGAGAAGAUUUUUAAAUUUAAGACUGGAUUGAGUGAUAAUUAUUUAUUAAUAAAUUUUAUUCCCUUUAAAAUAGUGUAAGAA
rnacentral:rRNA from 1 species